GGGGAGGGAACGGAGAGUGAAAAGGGAGGAGGGAGCAAGGGCCAGGGAGAAUGAGCAGGGAUGGACCGCGCGCCCAGGGGGACGGGGAGGCUGCGCUGGGCCCCGGGCGGGGGUAAAGUUUCCUUGUUCUCCUGGGGUUCGAGACGUGCCUGAGCCGGGGACGGGGACCCCGGGGUCACUGAGUGCGACUGGGGGGUCCCGGAGUCAGUCUGACCUCCCUCCCCACAUCUCCAGCCUGGGCGCCCGCUCCCUGCCUGCAGGGGUGGGGGGCACAUCUAGGGGAUCCGGCGCAAGGAGGGGCACCCCUAGCACAUCUGGGUUACUCCAUCGCGCCAGCCGGUGUCUGCAGCCUGAAAAUCGCGUCUCUGGUCUUGUUCCCCAGCGAGCCGUUCAGGACUCUCUGUCCGCCUGCAGCCCCCGCCUUCCCUGGUACCUCCGCAGAGACCCAAGAGGCGUCCAGAGGGGAGCCCAGGCGCACGGUCCCCAGGGAGGGGCCCCGCCCUCAGGUGGGUGCCGAGGUGGCCGCCCACAGAGCAGCAGGUGCGUUGGAGGAGGGGCGCCUUGUGCGGCUGAAUCUCGUGUGCAGGAGGAGAGGGCGAGGCUCUGCAGAAACAUCAGACCCGGCCAUCCCUGUAGCCGCGCCCCUGGCCCAGCCUCAGGCUCUGCAGCUGGGACACAGCCCCCGAAAACGGAGAUUUCCGUCGUCGGUAAUGGAAGGCAGAGCAGAAGGGGCUGGAGAGGUCCGGUGACCCUCCGCAUUCACGCCCCUCCCUCCAAGGCUGCAAGGCUGCUGGUCGGGCGAGGGGGCUCCGUCAGGAGUUCCCUGCAGCAACCCCCUCUCCAGCACAGGCCUCUGGAGCCCUACAGCUCCUGCCCCUCCCAUCGCUCUCCCAUCUCCCCUGUCCCUACCCCCUACCUUCCUUCUCCUCCUCCCCCCAGCUUCCCUGAGCAGCCACUGCUCCUGCCCACCCCUCUCCCCCCUCCCUGCCCACCUCUGGUUCCAGGUUGAGCUCAUGGCUCCUCAUACACCUGCUUUGGGACGGGCAGGAGCUCUUCCUCACUGGCCAGAGCUGUCUGUCCGCUCUGUGGGCAGUGCCUACAAUUAGAGCUUUCAGAACACACAGCCGCUGCACAGUGGCUGGUCCAACGACGACACUGCCCUCCUGAAUUGCCUGGUCCAGCGACAACACCUGCCCUGCUUCUGUGGCCUUCCCACAUGCUGGUCCAAGCAAGCUGGAUGCAGGGACCCCCUGCACUUCCACGGCCCCCUUGAGGUGGCCUCUUCAAUUGUCCCUACGUUACCAAAGAGAUAACACAGGUGCGGAGAGGCCGAGCGACUUGCCGAAGCUCACAGUCAGUACUGGGAUUCCAACCCAGGCCAUCUGGCUUUAGGGUCUGCACCCCGGCCUCCUGCUGGCCUCAGAUGUAGUUUUGGGCUGACGUGCCCUCACUGGGACAGCCUCCUGGGAGAUCCCAGGUCUACUUUCCUGAACUCUUUCCUGGAGCCAUGGGUGUCUGCCACCCACCCUGCUGACGGCUCUCCCUCAGACCACCCUGCAGAUCCAACCCUCGAUGGUUUCAAGGGCCUGUUUCCCUAGGCAGACUGAAGUCCCCCAAGGAAGGAUUCCCUCUCCUCCUCCUCCUCUCCUUGCUCUUCCCAAGCCCCUGGGCAGUGCAAGACCCUGGUCCUUCUGGCCUACAUGAAGCCCCUCCAUGGGCCAGUUCUGUGCCAGGAACUAGAAGGUUCCAAGCUGGAUGGAUAUUUGGGCUGAGCAAGCAGCUGGUAAACACAGGGAGGGGAGAAGAGCAAAGUCCCCCGAGGCCCCGUGAGGGCAGCCUGCUGACCUCUGACCUCUGACCCACUCACAGAACCCCACCCCCGCUCCCUGCGGCACAGCCCAUGAGGCUCUCUGCUUAGGAAGGGGACAGAGAGGUGGCAAGGCCAGCGGUUCCCGCAUGGUAUAGACUGGCCUCUGCCCUUUGGUUCAGGCCCCACCUUGGUGAGAAGCCCCUGCCUGUGGUGUCGCAGAGCAAAUGCCAUUGGCAGAGCCAAAUCCACAUUCUUUUGUGAGUGGAGAGGCCAGCCGUGCUGCGGUCCCUGCUGGAGCCCCUGUGACACGGGGUUAUCGUUUCUCUGACUUGGCAGCUGGCCGAAACGGGGCUCUUCUGCUGAUAAAGUGAUGUCCACUCGUGGGUUCCACACCCUCGUGGGUGCCUCACCCUCCCGUGGCAAACCAAAGACCUCUUUGGGAAGAGGACACCCCUGCUCCUGCACUUGGGCUCAUGGUUUCCCCCUGGACUUGUUAAAAUCGAGGCCUCCUGUGGAGAUUAUCUGGGGUCACAGCAGAGCGGGGGGCGUGUGGUGAGCUGGGUGAAUCCCUGAAGGGCCACGGGUGUCCACUCAGCCGUGCGUGGGGGCGUUUGUUUAACUCCAGAUUCUGGAGCUCCACCCUCAGAGACUGUUCAGUCUGGGGUGAGGCCUCCAAAUCUGUGGCUUCCACCAGCCAUUGCUGGCAGCUCUGAUGCAGGCGGCCCCAGAGUGCCCGGAGAAAUGUCAGCUUAGAGCCACUUGGCCCAGGGCUGAUGUGGAGGGUCAGGGUUCCCCACCGCAGCCAGGGCUCAGCCCGAACCUGGUGUCCUGGCCUGGGGCAGGGGCUGGAAUUUGUCCCCCGUUGGUGCAGGGGAAGAGGCCGUGGGCCUCGGCAGGAGCCUAGCAGAGGCUCUGAGACUAAGCCAGCUUUGCCUUUUCUGUCUCCUCCUCACUUUUCUAACAAAACAGGCCCAGGCUUCCACAGGGUCAAGCGGUCUCAAGCCGGCGGCUCUCCCUGGUGGAUUCCUGCAGCUGCUUCCAUCCCGGGCCCUGCUGAAGCUGCCUUUGCUGAAAAGAUGUAGGGCACAGCCGCUGGGGUGAUAGUGGGAGACGGAAAGGUUGGCUGAGAGGCCUGAUUCCUUCCACGCAUCACAACCUGAAAAUCGCCAAAGGUCUUCCUUGUUGGGGAGGAGUGAAUGGCAGCACCGGAAGCCAAGGCCCCUCACCACCAAGAAGCCAGCAGCUCAUCCCCACCUUCUGGACCAAAGACACGAAGCAGAGACCAAGCCGAGCCAAGUUAAUUCACUAUAAGCACGCUCCAGAGGAAGUCUCCAGCCUCUUAGUGAAACUGCAGCGAUGAAUGAGAAUGAUCGGGCACCCAGGUCUGCCUCCAAGUCUCGCGGAUGGCCCAGAGACCGUGCAGUGGGAAGGUUGGCAGCAAGCUGAAGGUUUGAACUCUGGCUGUGCCCCUGCUGCCAGGGGACCUCAGGCAAAUCAUCUUUUUCUCUGGGCCUUGGUUUCCUCAGCUGUGGGGACAGUGCUGGCCCCGAGUCACUGGGCCGUUGUGAGGAUGGAGAGGGGGUCGUGCAGGCUCCUGGGUCCUCGCUGAAGCCACCCAGGAGUUCUCCUGCACUCUCAGGGGAGCCCUUGUGCUGACAUCUGAGGGUCACGGUUCAGUGGCUUCAGGGUCCAGACAGGCCCGGAGGCCAGGCCAGAUGUGGUGCAGCCAGGGGAGGGGGCAAGCCCCGGGGGCCGUGGGCCAUCGGUUCACACCACAUCAGGGGCCGGGAAUCCCACUCAGGGUUUAGCCCUAGGCUCCCCCCAGCACCCCCCUCCCAAUCCAGAGGACACUCCCAGCCCUGAGCAGCGAGCUCUGGGCAGGCAUCGGGAGAGGGAGCGCAUCUCGGCUCUUUGUGAGGAAUUACGUCCCGACAGGUCACUGACACAGAAAAGCCCUUUGUCCCAGCCAGCUGGCCGCCUGCUAAUGACAUCCAGCCUGCACCUUCCAAGGCCACCUCUGCAUCCAGAAAGGACAGUGGCGGCUCCAGCCGGGGAGGAACAAGGGCCACAGCUUCCCUGGGGUCAGGGGUGGGGAGGGUGGGUGAAGGCUCCGGACGCUUCUGCACGUUGCCCCAGAGCUGCGGACGGACCUCAGGUGACCGUCAAGACCUGCUGCGGAUCCAGUGACCCCUCCAAGGAGAGUGCCGAGUCCUGGGAAUUCUCUUCCUCCUCCUGCACCUCCAGGUGUCUCCCAGCUGCUGAGAAUGAGCCAAGGGACCAAGAUGGCCGCCUGGCUCCUGCAAGUGGAGAGGGUCUUGCUGGGGCCUGAACUGGCUGAGGUCUUGCAGCAGGAAGGGGACGCUGGACACUUAGCCCCCUACAGGGAGCCCAGAGCCAGGCCUGGGUGAAGGUGCCUUUGGGAGGAGGUGGAGGAGUGUAACGAUUGGGACCCAGCUGGACAGGUCCCUGUGAGCCGGCCUGGGUCCUUGGUGGGUGGGUGAGUGCCAGCUUGCCCUCACGGGACUUUGCCCCCUGAGCAGGAGGGACAGCUCAGGCCCCACCUGCCUUGGGCUUCUGAGCAUAGCUUUGGGGGGCAGGGGUCGUUUGCAGCACGAAGCCCUUGUCAGCUUCCAGCGUGUUCUAACAUUUGUCAUACCAGAUGGAUUGUCACGAGCAUAUGGGGUGACAUUAUUAUUCUGUUAC
rnacentral:lncRNA from 10 species